GCCAUCAUAGUAUAGUGGUUAGUACACCACGUUGUGGAGUACCGUGGAAACCUCAGUUCGAUUCUGGGUGAUGGCA